rnacentral:rRNA from 1 species
CCCUUAGAUGUUCUGGGCCGCACGCGCGCUACACUGUUCGACGCAGCGAGUCUUAACCUUGACCGAAAGGUUUGGGUAAUCUUCAGCAAAGUCGAACGUGAUGGGGAUCGAUCAUUGCAAUUAUUGAUCGUGAACGAGGAAUUCCUAGUAAGUGCAAGUCAUCAGCUUGCGCUGAUUACGUCCCUGCCCUUUGUACACACUGCCCGUCGCUACUACCGAUUGAAUGGUUUAGUGAGAUCUCUGGAUUGACGCUGGCUAGGGGGCGACCCUUGGCCAGACUGUUGAGAAACUGCUCAAACUUGAUCAUUUAGAGGAAGUAAAAGUCGUAACA